CUGGAACAGGAGGAAAGACCCCAGAUGCAAAAGUUAUCUGAGCUCUUCCUCUGCUGUGAUAGGGUGCGGGGGAGGCUGCACACCUCAUAUCCGGGUCAGCCAAGCAUCUUCUCCCACAGAGCAAAGCAAGGAUCUCCCAUUAUGUUCAGCACUAGGCUUGUCCCAAGGCAAUGUCUCUAGGAUUCCCCAGCAAAGAGGAAGGAGAAGGGAAGACUCUCCUGAAAGGACCUCGUGGCCAGAUGCACACAGCAGCAGGAAGUGCCUACGGGGCACUGAAGAACCAGACCCCACCAAGGUCAAUGUGAGCUCUGGGUCUGGGGUAAGAAGGACAAUGGGGCAGGAAAGUGGGCCUGGAGGGAGGCCUGGGGGAGGGGCUCGGGGGCAGCUCUAGACCUGGUGAGAGGGUUGGGAGCCCAGGAGCCCUGAGUGUCUGACGGCUGCUGACCAAUGGACUUGGAGAUUUUUCUGGAAGUGCCUGAGCGAGGACGGCCAGGGUGUGGGCUGGAACUGGGAGGGGGCUUAGGGUCUGUGCCCAGGCCAGCGUCACAGAGCUCAGGGAGAGGUUGUCUCCCUGAGAAGGGGACAGCUCGGCCAAGUGGUCUCGGAGGGCAGAGCUAGGGCCAGGGUUGGGGGCCGAUGUAAGAGGGUUGACCUGGCUUUGCCCCCAGUUCAACCACUGUCCCUUUCUGGGCCUCAGUUUCUCCAUCUUUGAAAUGAGGAGGAUUAAACUGAUGCUAUGCAAAAUCUCCACCAGCUUAAAAGAAAAAGCUUUGUGACUGUCCUGUGUGAAGUACAGAGAGGCAAAUUUGGCUUCAUCUAAGGAAGAACAUUCCAAUAUUCAUAAGCGGCCCUGAGAUGGCUGUGGGGUGAGCCACGCUCCCCUACAUUGCUCACGAGGUUGUCCAGGGGCGGAGGUGCGGUCCUGGGCCAGGUCUCUGAGGCCCUCACAUACCCCCGGUUCUCCUGGUGCACCCAUGAGAAGCAUCCCAGGCUGGCCACUGCCUCUCUAGGAAUCAAGCCCCGGGAAAUCAGACUUUCACUUCCACGGAGAUGUCUGCAAAUGGCACCUGUGAGUUCCAUCACCCGGCCUAAAGACUCCUCCUUUUCCCAUUGAGGACAUCCAAGCCAUUUUGAAACCCAGUUCCAGAGACCACACCUUGAUGACAGCACGUUCAUAACUAAACCCCGUUUCUCCCUGCCUUGGGGUCCAUCCCAAGACCCGCUCCUCUCUCCCUCCAGCAGUGAGACCAUGGAGGGGGAGCCUUGAGAAAACCAGGGUCACUUCAGCUCGGAAGGACUUGGCCCUGCGCGCCGCCACUGGCACCGACCUACGAAAAUAGCUGCACUGGCCGAGUUUUGCUUUGCUGACGAGCUUUGCUGAGCGGCGAGAACUCGCCAAAGCAGAUUUCCAGUUUCCAACUGGCUUUCAGGAAAAAAAGAAAAAAAAGGCGGGGCGGGGGAGAUGAUUUUCUUUUGGGCUGGCAAAGACACCAGCCGUGUUCAUGCCGGCUGGUGGCAACCUAUUCAGGGGCCACAACUUCCGCGGUCAUUUAUUUGCCGCUUCUUUGAAAGCCCACCUCCCUGGCAGUCUCGGCGAAGCCUUGAAUCUCACGGCUCCGCUCCCUCUGGAAGGCGUGGAGAGGCCCAAGCCGGGAGGGCUGUCCGGGCACAGGCUCUUGCUCCAUCCCCACUGCCCCUGGUGAUGGACGCCAUGGGAAAUGCCCGGAGUCCAGGGAAGCAAGCCCUGGAGUGUUCAGGCAAGAGCCCACGCCCUGGCCUCACCCGGCGAGGU
rnacentral:lncRNA from 10 species